rnacentral:rRNA from 1 species
CGGGUGAGUAAUGUAUGGGGAUCUGCCUGAUGGCGGGGGAUAACUACUGGAAACGGUAGCUAAUACCGCAUAAUGUCUGCGGACCAAAGCGGGGGACCUCCGGGCCUCGCGCCAUCAGAUGAACCCAUAUGGGAUUAGCUUGUAGGUAAGGUAACGGCUUACCUAGGCGACGAUCCCUAGCUGGUCUGAGAGGAUGACCAGCCACACUGGAACUGAGACACGGUCCAG